rnacentral:tRNA from 1 species
GCCUGGGUGGCUCAGUGGGUUAAGCGUCUGACUUCGGCUCAGGUCAUGAUCUCAUGGUUUGUGAGUUCGAGCCCCGCAUCGGGCU